rnacentral:tRNA from 1 species
CUGGGGUUAUAGCUCAGUUGGUAGAGUGCUGCCUGUCAUGCACAAGGCUCUGAAUUCAAUCCCCAGCACCACAGA